UCGCAUUUCUCAUCCAUUCUUAUGAUUAUUCAGAUUGAGUUAUUUUGGGAGAAAAACGACAAAAUAGGUGUCCGGAUAUUGUUUCCGUUAUCAGACUGACUUUUAGUCAUAGAUAAGACUUCCGGUUUUAAACAUGCACAAGAACAACCAAUCGUAUGAUAGAUUACAAAAAUGAAAAAUAAAUAAGCCAAUCAGAGCGUUCUCCAUAUCAUGGUUUUUAGAUCGCAAGAACCACAACUAUUAUACCUCCUUAGAGUCAAUUAUGUUUUCGCGUUUAUCAACC
rnacentral:lncRNA from 1 species